UAAUACGAAGGGGGCUAGCGUUGCUCGGAAUCACUGGGCGUAAAGCGCACGUAGGCGGAUUGCUAAGUCAGGGGUGAAAUCCUGGAGCUCAACUCCAGAACUGCCUUUGAUACUGGCGAUCUUGAGUCCGGGAGAGGUGAGUGGAACUGCGAGUGUAGAGGUGAAAUUCGUAGAUAUUCGCAAGAACACCAGUGGCGAAGGCGGCUCACUGGCCCGGUACUGACGCUGAGGUGCGAAAGCGUGG
rnacentral:rRNA from 1 species